rnacentral:rRNA from 1 species
GCACUUAUACCGUGGACUGCGAAUGGCUCAUUAAAUCAGUUAUCGUUUAUUUGAUAGUACCUUUACCUGGAUAACCGUGGUAAUUCUAGAGCUAAUACAUGCUAAAAACCCCGACUUCGGAAGGGGUGUAUUUAUUAGAUAAAAAACCAAUGCCCUUUGGGCCUUUUGGUGAUUCAUAAUAACUUAACGAAUCGCAUGGCCUUGCGCCGGCGAUGGUUCAUUCAAAUUUCUGCCCUAUCAACUUUCGAUUGUAGAGUAGUGGUCUACAAUGGUAUCGACGGGUAACGAAGAAUUAGGGUUCGAUCUCGGAGAGGGAGCCUGAGAAACGGCUACCACAUCCAAGGAAGGCAGCAGGCGCGCAAAUUACCCAAUCCCGACACGGGGAGGUAGUGACAAUAAAUACUGAUAUGGGGCUCUUUCGGGUCUCGUAAUCGGAAUGAGUACAAUCUAAAUCCCUUAACGAGGAACAAUUGGAGGGCAAGUCUGGUGCCAGCAGCCGCGGUAAUUCCAGCUCCAAUAGCGUAUAUUAAAGUUGUUGCCGUUAAAAAGCUCGUAGUUGAACCUUGGACCGGACUGAUCUGUCCUCCUCAUCGAGCGUACGGAUUCGGUCUGGUCUUUCCUUCUGGGGAGCCCCAUGCCCUUCAUUGGGUGUGGUGGGGAACCAGGACUUUUACCUUGAAAAAAUUAGAGUGUUCAAAGCAGGCCUUUGCUCGAAUACAUUAGCAUGGAAUAAUAGAAUAGGACGUCGGUUCUAUUUUGUUGGUUUCUAGGACCGCUGUAAUGAUUAAUAGGGACAGUCGGGGGCGUCAGUAUUCAAUUGUCAGAGGUGAAAUUCUUGGAUUUAUUGAAGACUAACUACUGCGAAAGCAUUCGCCAAGGAUGUUUUCAUUAAUCAGUGAACGAAAGUUAGGGGAUCGAAGACGAUCAGAUACCGUCGUAGUCUUAACCAUAAACUAUGCCGACUAGGGAUCGGACGGUGGUUUAAUUUUCUGCCCCGUUCGGCACCUUACGAGAAAUCAAAGUUUU